rnacentral:rRNA from 1 species
AUACGAAGGUCCCAAGCGUUAUUCGGAAUCACAGGGCGUAAAGAGUACGUAGGCGGUUUGGUAAGUCAGGUGUGAAAUCCCGAAGCUCAACUUCGGAACUGCAUCCGAUACUGCCAGACUAGAGUAAUGGAGAGGCAGGUGGAAUUCUCGGUGUAGCAGUGAAAUGCGUGGAUAUCGAGAGGAAGACCAAUGGCGAAGGCAGCCUGCUGGACAUUUACUGACGCUGAGGUACGAAGGCUAGGGGAGCGAAAGGGAUUAGAAACCCCGGUAGUCC